CCAACGUGGAUAACCCGGGAGGUCACUCUCCCCGGGCUCUGUCCUAGUGGCGUACGGGAGCAUAGGGCUUCGCCCAGUGAUGUACAGUCCCUUUCCACAACGUUGGAGAUGAAGCUGGGCUUUCAGUCCGCGCCUGCAUAUUCCUACAGCUUCUCAGAGUCCUGUGGACGGUGACUGAGGAGACAAACCAUGCAGGAAACAUAA
ensembl:snoRNA SNORA73 Small nucleolar RNA SNORA73 family